AUGAGUUAUCGGAACUAUGUUCAAAUGGAUGAUUGCAAAAAUAUUAUCCUUUUUUUGAUGUGGUUGUACUGUUAUAUAAAUAAAAAAUUUAGCUCAUUUUAUACAUGUGCAAUUUGUGUGGAAGUGCAGUCUGUGCUAUUGAAAAUUCUGUACGUGUGUAUUAGAAAGUCUGUGCUGUUGAAAAGCUAUACAUUUGGGUGCCAUGCAUAUUUGAACAUAUAUAUAGUGCUGCAACUUGGGCGCCAUGUAUAUUUUACAACCGAAUUGAAACUGGAGCCAACUUACAGGGGUGGCAGAAAAACAACAUUCCAAGCGGAGGCUAGAAGCGGAAUGGAAAUACAACCCUGUGGCAUGUAUUUGGUUUGA
rnacentral:rRNA from 1 species